rnacentral:tRNA from 1 species
GGUUAUGGCUUAGUGGUAGAGUGCUCACCUAGCAUACGUGAGGCACUGGGUUCGAUGCUCAGCACCA